UACGAAGGGUGCUAGCGUUGUUCGGAAUCACUGGGCGUAAAGCGCGCGUAGGCGGCGUAACAAGUCAGAGGUGAAAGCCUGGAGCUCAACUCCAGAAUUGCCUUUGAAACUGUUAUGCUUGAGUGUCGGAGGGGAUAGCGGAAUUGCUAAUGUAGAGGUGAAAUUCGUAGAUAUUAGCAGGAACACCGGUGGCGAAGGCGGCUAUCUGGACGACAACUGACGCUGAGGCGCGAAAGCGUGGGGAUCAAACAGGG
rnacentral:rRNA from 1 species